GACGAACGCUGGCGGCGUGCUUAACACAUGCAAGUCGAGCGGUAAGGCUCCUUCGGGCGUACACGAGCGGCGAACGGGUGAGUAACACGUGAGUAAUCUGCCCUUCACUUCGGGAUAACCACCGGAAACGGUGGCUAAUACCGAAUACGACCAGUCUUCGCAUGAGGUGCUGGUGGAAAGUCUUUUCGGUGAAGGAUGUGCUCGCGGCCUAUCAGCUUGUUGGUGGGGUAAUGGCCUACCAAGGCUUCGACGGGUAGCCGGCCUGAGAGGGUGACCGGCCACACUGGGACUGAGACACGGCCCAGACUCCUACGGGAGGCAGCAGUGGGGAAUAUUGGACAAUGGGCGAAAGCCUGAUCCAGUAACGCCGCGUGAGGGAUGACGGCCUUCGGGUUGUAAACCUCUUUCAGUACCGACGAAGCGCCCUGUCGGGUGGUGACGGUAGGUACAGAAGAAGGACCGGCCAACUACGUG
rnacentral:rRNA from 1 species